rnacentral:tRNA from 1 species
GUCUUCCGGGAAUCGAACCCAGGCCGCGUGGGUGAAAACCACGAAUCCUAACCACUAGACCACAUGGGA